UACGUAGGGUGCGAGCGUUGUCCGGAAUUAUUGGGCGUAAAGAGCUUGUAGGCGGUUUGUCGCGUCUGCCGUGAAAAUCCGGGGCUCAACCCCGGACUUGCGGUGGGUACGGGCAGACUAGAGUGUGGUAGGGGGAGACUGGAAUUCCUGGUGUAGCAGUGAAAUGCGCAGAUAUCAGGAGGAACACCGAUGGCGAAGGCAGGUCUCUGGGCCACUACUGACGCUGAGAAGCGAAAGCGUGGGGGAGCGAACAGG
rnacentral:rRNA from 1 species